AUGUGGGACACCGAUUUGCAGAAUGAGCCAAAGGCAUGUUUUGCCUUUCAGUUGUGUUUUCUGCAGAGUCAGGCAUUAUUUUUUUCAUUCACUGAGGCUGAUGGCAAACUUUCCUUGUAUUUUGAGACAUCAUUGAAAAUGAGGCUGAAAAGAGUCCAGCUUUGUGAUCCGGGGCAUCAUUGUCUAUGUGAUAUUGUAGCUGACAGAAAACUUUUAUCCUGUGCUUCUAGGUCUCGCUGGCGGAGACUGCUCCCUCUUCAUGCUUCAUUUUCCCACUGUCAGUGUUUUCUACCACCUGCCUUGUUCUCUGUUCACCUUGAGCUGAGACAAAUUGCUCUGAAAGCCGAAGCCAUGUCUGUUGUUGAUCUCUGCUCUACACUAAGCAGGGAAAAGCUGGAGGCUGUCCAUCCUCUGGGGCUCUCAGAGGUGGCCUGGGAGGAGAGAUGCUCCCAGCACUGCCAGCAGCAACUGCAGGAGAUGGAGCAGCACCUGGCCCUGAAAGGGGACAUCAGGCAGGGCAGGGGGACAUCGUCAUGCACGACCCCGACCUCAGGAAAGGUCAGGCUGGGCUCACCAAGGUGUUUGCAAGUGGCAUCUUUCGGUAUUUGCAGCAGUCUCUCUUCUCGCUUUGGGUUGUGUGUAUGGCUGUAA
ensembl:lncRNA